GAGUUUGAUCGUGGCUCAGAUUGAACGCUGGCGGCAUGCCUUACACAUGCAAGUCGAACGGCAGCACGGGAGCUUGCUCCUGGUGGCGAGUGGCGAACGGGUGAGUAAUGCAUCGGAACGUAUCCUGGAGUGGGGGAUAACGUAGCGAAAGUUACGCUAAUACCGCAUACUCUGUGAGCAGGAAAGCGGGGGACCUUCGGGCCUCGCGCUCUUGGAGCGGCCGAUGUCGGAUUAGCUAGUUGGUGAGGUAAAGGCUCACCAAGGCGACGAUCCGUAGCAGGUCUGAGAGGAUGAUCUGCCACACUGGAACUGAGACACGGUCCAGACUCCUACGGGAGGCAGCAGUGGGGAAUUUUGGACAAUGGGGGCAACCCUGAUCCAGCCAUGCCGCGUGAGUGAAGAAGGCC
rnacentral:rRNA from 2 species